CUGUCACUAGUCACCCCCUCCCUCUCUCUGUCACUAGUCACACUGUCCCUCACUCUGUCACUAGCGUGAGGGAGUGACAGGUGACAGAGUGAGGGAAUGGGUGACUAGUGGCAGAGUGAGGGGAUGACUGGUGACAGAGUGAGGGGAUGACUGGUGACAGAGUGAGGGAGGUGGUGACUAGUGACAGAGUGAGGGAGGUGGUGACUGUCACUAGUCACCACCUCCCUCACUCUGUCCCUAGUCACUCCUCCCUCUGUCACUAGUCACCCCCUUCCUCACUGUCACUAGUCACCCCCUUCCUCUCUUUGUCACUAGUCACACCCUCCCUCACUCUG